rnacentral:rRNA from 1 species
GGUGGGCGUUGGAAUUUUGAGAGGGCUUGACCUUAGUACGAGAGGACCGGGUUGAACCGACCGCUGGUAGACCAGUUGUUCCGCCAGGAGCACCGCUGGGUAGCCACGUCGGGUGAAGAUAAGCGCUGAAAGCAUCUAAGUGCGAAACUUGCCUCAAGAUGAGAAUUCCUAUGAGAGCCGUCAGAGACGAUGACGUUGAUAGGCUACCGGUCUAAAGCGAGUGAUCGCAAAGCCAAGUAGUACUAAUGCCUCCAAGACUUCUUAUU